rnacentral:misc_RNA from 1 species
GAAAUGCGAUAAGUAGUGUGAAUUGCAGAAUUCAGUGAAUCAUCGAAUCUUUGAACGCACAUUGCGCCCCUUGGUAUUCCAUGGGGCAUGCCUGUUCGAGCGUCAUCUACACCCUCAAGCUCUGCUUGGUGUUGGGCGUCUGUCCCGCCCCCGCGCGUGGACUCGCCCCAAAUCCAUUGGCAGCGUUCCUCGCCCCCUCUCGCGCAGCACAUUGCGCUUCUCGAGGGCGGCUCCGGGACGCGAUCCAGCAAGAUGACCACCGUCUUUGACCUCGGAUCAGGUAGGGAUACCCGCUGAACUUAAGC